AAGACAAACAACCAUUCACACUCACAUUCAUACCUAUGGACAAUUUGCUAAUGAACCUAGCAUGUUUUUGGAAUGUGGGAGGAAAACCGGAGCGUCUGGAGAAAACCCACACAUGCACGGGAAGAACAUGGAAACUCCACACAGAGAUGGCCGAGGAUGGAAUUGAACUCGGGUCUUCUAGCUGCGAGGCCUGCAUGCUAACCACUUGAUCACCUAUCCAAAAAUCAAAAAUCUAACAUUCCCUUCACUACAAUGGAUUCCGGAACUCCAAUCAUAUCCCUGGAAAGGAUACCGGAGUGUUCGAAUGACGUGUGAUGACUUCGUAAUUCAUUUAACCCGUCUGCAUCUCCUGACUUUGCGUUCUUCUGACAUCCGCCAUCCUCGUCUCCCAGCUGAUUUCCACCACUAAAAUGUCGCCCACUUAAUCUAAUUCAGUGAACAGCACCUCCUCACAAGACCUUUAACCCCCAACCCUGACCCACAGCUGCUGUCCCACUCAUCCACUGCGCCACAACCGCUAAUAAAUUAUUGCUGACUCAUCAUGAUCAAUGACGGGUAAUCAAGAUGACAUUUCGAGUUCAGGACACACGGCCAUUUUGCUUAUGUAUAUUUAUACUCUACCAGUUUAUGUUUUUAUUUUUUUUUGACAUAGUUAUAGCGUUAGAUGCUAUCUAACGCUAGUUUUUCUCCCACAGCAAGUACUGAUAGAUUGUUCAAUAAUUGCUGAGGAAAGUUAAGAAAUUCUCUUUAUGGUUAUCUUUCAGAUGAGCAUCAUUAUUGGAUGUCUGGGACAUUUUGCAAGGCGAAUCUUAUUUAAAGGAACAGUACACAAUAAAGCAAAAAUGUGGCCGUUUGUUUGAAAGAGUGGGGAUUAUAAAGUUAAAUGGAUUGUGAAUCUAUAAAGGAGAUUUGUAGACAAGAGGACUGAGAGCACUACUUGUUUUUAUUUUUCAUAUUCACACACACACACACGCACGCACACACACACACUUUUAGAUAUCUCGCUGCAAUCCACCCCUCAUCAACAUCCUUCUUGGAAAAUCACUGCAGCUCUGAAAAGUCAUUUCAACCCGCAGUACCAGCAGGCCCUUAAAGAUUCAUAUUCCUAUUUACUGUCUCCCUCUCUGCUUGUGCACACACACACUCUUUCUGCAACACACACACACAGCAGCACCAACUAACCCAGCAGGGUUAGGUUCAUGAAUAAAGGAGGGAAUUAGAGCAGACCUGAAGAAGUCAGAUAGAGAGCGAGGCAAAAGGAGACAGAGAGGUAUUAAAUUGUAUGAAAAGUAUCGUAGGGAAGGGGCAAAUCCAAAAUAAGUGGAUAUCAACAAGGAGGGAAAAUUCAGAAGGAGAUAAGAGGCAGGAAGUAGGAGAAGGUGAUAAUAUAAACAGAUUGCUUGUCUCUUAGAUCAAAACUAAAAGAGUACAAUACAUGCAAUAAAUCCUCUUUAUUUUGGGAUUAGAAUGUUCAUUUUUAAUGUAUGACUGCUAUAGUUUAUUGUAUACUUCAAUAUUUUAAAAAGUGAGCUUUAUUUGUGUUAUGUUCAUACAUGAGUGUGUGGUUUGCGAGGGGUUACUGUUCCUUUAAGGCUUAGUAGUCAAGUGUAACGAUUAACGUAAAGUGUGUUUGGUGGACGUAAACAGUUACGUUAAGCAUCCGACACAAUUGGUACUUUAAAGAACUUAUUAAUGUUUUUAUUUAGUUACCAUUUAUCUCCACUUAACCUUUCUACAGGAUUAUUCGUCCAAAAAUAUGUUUUUUCCACGAAAAUAGGCCGUUUUUAAUUAAUUCAUACUUCUUGUUGUCUUGUUUUGAAAUACGUGCUUUUAUUUUGACAAACACCUUAAAACCGGAAGUGACGGCGCUCCGGCGGAAAUGAGCACUAACACGCAAGUGAGGGUUCGGUUCGCCGGAGCAUCAAACUUUUUCCAACUCCUACAAACUGGAAACCACCACCGUCACAGAGUUUUGUGGUGAAGCACCGUCAAUAACCAUCCAUCUCAUCCUAAACUGUACAGAGUCAUAUCUCAGUUCCCUGAUGAGCUCCUAAAGUGUGACAGAUCUUCCGCUUCCCCGGCUCUCUUAAUCACAUGAUAAUUAGCCUGUCAUCAGCAACAGGGGGAACGUGCAGGACACAUAAUGAGGACAUUAGGCGGCGCAGUGAAAGGGACCCCCUACCAGGUGGAGGAUCAAUGGUACGGCCUGAUGAAAGGUGGACUUAUAUAUACAGCUGAUGGUUGGAGGCAAAGAGGCAAGAGAGUGCUAUUGAUUUGUGCACACACAUUAUCUACUGUACCCGAUUCUGCGGUUUGAGUCGCAUAUAUAUAGACGUGAACGGGCAUGAAACGCUCCGAGCGAGGUUAAAUUUGGAUGUAGAAAUGGAAGCAAUAGAGAUGUAAUGUCUGCCGACUGAAAAAAGGAAAAGCUCAAUUUACUGUAUACGGUAGAGAAAUCGGAUUUAGAUUGUUUAUUUUUAGAGGUCUGAUGUCAAGUGCAGGUGAUUCGAUUGAGGUGAAGGGAUGGCGAUACUGGCGGAAUGAUGCACUUUUGGGGUGUUUUUGCCUCUAUAAAGGAAGGUUUAAGGACUUCGGGACAUUAGGAUGCUGUUUUUGACCAUGUACGAAAUGCUACUGGGUUACGGUUAGCAACACUGGUUGGGACACCGGAACACAUUUACUGCAAAACACACAAGCAUGGGUCAUAUUUUCUCUUACUUUAACAUUAUUGGGUAAUAUCAGUGACUAUAGGGGUGUUAUUUCAUGUCUACAGGGCUCUAACAAUGUUAAUUCAUUUACUACCAAACAUGUAUUAUAUGUUUUUUUGCACAAAAGGCAUGGUUAGUGCAGUUUUAAGCCGUAUUUGGUAAUACCAGUGACUAUAGGGGUGUUAUUUCAUGUCUACGGGGCUCUAACAAUGUUAAUUAAUUCGCUACCAAACAUGUAUUAUGUUUUUUUGCACAAAAGGCAAAUAAGUGCAAAAUAGAAUACAUCAUGAUUAGUGCAGUUUUAAGCCGUAUUGGGUAAUAACAGUGACUAUAGGGGUGUUAUUUCAUGUCUACAGGGCUCUAACAAUGUUAAUUCAGUCGCUACCAAACAUGUAUUAUAUGUGUUUUUUGCACAAAAGACAAAAAGUACAAAAUAGAAUAGAUCAUGAUUAGUGCAAUUUUAAGCCGUAUUUGGUAAUAACAGUGACUAUAGGGGUGUUAUUUCAUGUCUACGGGGCUCUAACAAUGUUAAUUCAUUCGCUACCAAACGUGUACUAUGUUAUUUUUUUGCACAAAAGGCAAAAAGUGCAAAAUAGAAUAGAUCAUGAUUAGUGCAGUUUUAAGCCAUAUUGGGUAAUACCAGUGACUAUAGGGGUGUUAUUUCAUGUCUACAGGGCUCUAACAAUGUUAGUUAAUUCGCUACCAAACAUGUAUUAUAUGUUUUUUUUUGCACAAAAGAUAAAAAGUACAAAAUAGAAUAGAUCAUGAUUAGUGCAGUUUUAAGCCGUAUUGGGUAAUACCAGUGACUAUAGGGGUGUUAUUUCAUGUCUACAGGGCUCUAACAAUGUUGAUUCAUUCGCUACCAAAGAUGUAAAAACGUGCUGACACAAGUGCAGAAUAGACUACAUCAUGAUUAGUGCAGUUUUAAGCUGUAUUGGGUAAUACCAGUGACUAUAGGGGUGUUAUUUCAUGUCUGCAGGGCUCUAACAAUGUUAAUUAAUUAAGUAUUUCUCAGUCGUGGUGGCAAGCUUACAUUUUUUGGUUCUCAUGACAUCAUAAUAAAGUAUUUUUUCUUUAAUGUAUCGACGACAAAUCACUAAAAUGGUCAC